rnacentral:tmRNA from 1 species
GGGGGCGACAUGGUUUCGACGGGGCUCAUGUCUGAGUUUGGGUAGCGAGCCGAGAUUCCAGCAGUUCUCGUUAAACAGGCUGGAAAACAACAAUUGCCGAUUCCGAAUUGGCUCUGGCCGCUUAGUCUGAACAAGACUUAAGCGCCUGUCGCGCCUCCUCGGCCCGUCGUGGAGGGUCGCGGCAUAAACCAGGCGGGCUUACUCCCGGCGAGGGCCGCCGGCGUCGGGGGGACAUCUUAGGUGGUUGGUCGGACGCACCCAGCUCCUACGGGGGCGCGAGGCGAGAUUUGUAGUAGGGGCUACGCUCGUAGAGACCUGGGCCAGACGGGUUUCGGACGGGGGUUCGAUUCCCCCCGCCUCCACCA